rnacentral:rRNA from 1 species
UACGUAGGGGGCGAGCGUUGUCCGGAGUUACUGGGCGUAAAGGGUGCGCAGGCGGCCUUGCGCGUCGCGAGUGAAAUCUCCCCGGCUCAACUGGGAGGGUGGUCGCGAGACGGCAGGGCUUGAGGCUCGGUGAGGGGCGUGGAAUUCCGGGUGGAGCGGUGAAAUGCGUAGAGAUCCGGAGGAACACCGACGGCGUAGGCAGCGCCCUAGACGAGACCUGACGCUCAGGCACGAAAGCGCGGGAGCGAACAGG